GGUCUUGGUCCUGACCUAGCGUUAUCUGUAAUUAGAGUAUACAUGCAAGNNNCCCCGCCACAGUGAGUAGCCCGCCUCCCCAAAGGGGGAGCAGGAGCAGGUAUCAGGCCAUGCCAAUGACACCACGCAAUGCCACACCCACACGGGCCUGCAGCAGUAACCAACAUUGGGCCAUAAGCGAAAGCUGGACCCAGUUAUAAUUAUUAAGGUUGGUAAAAUUCGUGCCAGCGACCGCGGUUAUACGAAUAACCUAAGACAACGCAAACGGCGUAAACAUGACUAGAGCAGAAAGCCCUCGCACUUAAGGACGAACAAUAAACCAGCUGUAAAAUGCCAAGUCAAAAAGAAAAUCAAGCCUUAACGAGAGGGCCACGUUGACUCAUGAAAGCCAGGGGACAAACUAGGAUUAGAUACCCUACUAUGCCUGGCAGUAACAAGGCUAGGAAACCACAGACUAGCCCGCCAGAUCACUACAAGCGAAAGCUUUAAACUCAAAGGACUUGACGGUGUCCCACAUACAACCUAGAGGAGCCUGUCCUAUAAUCGAUGACCCACGAAAGACCACACCACCCCUUGCCAAACAAUCUAUAUACCGCCGUCGCAAGCCAACCUCUUGAGAGGGGAAGAGUUAGCAAAACUGCCAAACGCAAAGACGACAGGUCAAGGUGUAGUUUAUGGGGUGGCCAGAGAUGGGCUACACUUCCUUCCAAAGGAAAUACGAAUGGUCAACUGAAAGCCGGCCUAAAGGCGGAUUUAGUAGUAAAAUGGGAUAAGCAAGCCCGUUUGAACACAUUGCCCUGGGACGCGUACACACCGCCCGUCACCCCUGUCGUCACAAUAGACGUCCUAUAUAAAACCCCCGAAGUGAAAAGACUGGGUAAGUCUUAACAUGGUAAGCGUACUGGAAAGUGUGCUUGGAA
rnacentral:ncRNA from 1 species